UACGUAGGGUGCAAGCGUUGUCCGGAAUUAUUGGGCGUAAAGAGCUUGUAGGCGGUUUGUCGCGUCUGCUGUGAAAUUUCGGGGCUCAACCCCGAACUUGCAGUGGGUACGGGCAGGCUAGAGUGUGGUAGGGGAGACUGGAAUUCCUGGUGUAGCGGUGAAAUGCGCAGAUAUCAGGAGGAACACCGAUGGCGAAGGCGGGUCUCUGGGCCGAUAUUGACGCUGAGGAGCGAAAGCGUGGGGAGCGAACAGG
rnacentral:rRNA from 1 species